AAUUUCAUUGCAGAAAGACACAGUUUUUACAGAGCAUAAGAAGUUACAGUAGAUACUAAGAAGUGGAAUUUUUCCUAGUCUCUAGUCCGUCCAAAUGAAGGUUGGUCCUCGUAAUUGGAUGUUUAUAUGUAUUAUACUAAUAGUACAAUUAAAUGCUGCAGGAUGUGAAAAUAUUAUUUGAAUUGACUCUCACUGAUGGUGACGCCACAGUAAAGUGAAUAAUUGUAGAGCAAGACUGAAAGGGCAAAAACCAUUAAAAUGUACCUUUCGAAUUGAAUGUAGUUAGUUGUAGUCAGAUGAUGUUUAUUUUGAGCUAAGUAUGAAGAAUCUAUCAAGUUUAAAAUCAUAAUUUUACCGUCAAUUAUUUUUUUUGUAUAUGUUUUGCUUUGCAUACUGAAAACCAACUUUAUUUCGCGUUUUACCUAGGGUAAACUUGUUUACGAUGAUUGAUUUUCGCGAUCAAGGUUUUUGGAUCUGUUAUUAAUAGACACAGAGGCUUUAAGGACUGGUUCGCGGCGAGAAAUAUUCGCGAUGGCAAGUCUCUCGCUAACUACGCGAAAAUUUCCAUCACGCGAAUAAAAGUUGGUUUACAGUAUACUAUAUAACCUUUGGCUCAUAUGUUAAGUCAAACUUUUUCAAUAUC